rnacentral:lncRNA from 1 species
UUUUUAUUCUGAAGUUAAAAUAACACCUUUUCCCCCGGUGGAAAAUUUCUGGCUUCUUUUUAAAGGAAAUGAGGGAGGGGGGGAAAAUCAACACUGAACUACACUAGGAAUCAUGACCUGUUGGAUGUUCCUCAAGUGGGUUUUUUAUUUCUGAUUCUCAACAUUCCUAUUGACUUGUUUAAUAUAAGACAAUGCUUUCCAAUACUAGGACAAAGCUUUACCUUUGUGUCACUUUCCUGACAUCAGACCCCGCAAUGUAGAUGUGUGGUCCAUGAAAUUGUUUUCACGUUUUGACGAUAUAACCCUUCCGUAUACUUAAAAACCCAACUUCUUAUGAGGCUUUAGUAAGUCAUAAAAUAAAUUAUGGUCAUCCAAAUUCCGAACAAUGAAAUUAUAACAUUGCAUUCAGCCUACAUAAUGUUUAGCUACUUUUGACUUAGAGGAAUACUACUUUUGUCUUAGAGGAAUAAAAUAAUACCUUGUGAGCAUUAUUAUAGAGUAUGUGUUCAUAUGUUUGCACACUAAGUCUUUUCUUCACCAACACUUUAUGUCGCUGUAGAAGGGUUUAUUUGAAAAAAACAUCUGCUACAGUACCACAGCCAAGAGACCCAUUCCAAGAGGCCUGUCCAGUGGAUUUCCUGGCAGAAUAUGAGAAUCUGUUAAUAAACCAUGAAACUGAAGAAAUAAUAGAGAUUGAAGAAGUGAUGUAAUGGAAUGCAAGUGAAACAAGCAACUUGGUAUUUUUCAAGCACAUAUAUCUUGUUGGCAGAAGUUAACAUAUUCUCUUACUCUUGCAAGCAGUGAGAAUAGCAUUGCCUGUAGAGACAAUUCCCCAAGAGCCUAUCUUUAAAAGCCUCUUUGUAUUUGAUUGCAUUUUCCAUAAACAUUUUGAGGUUUUGGACUACUUCUGUUUCUUCUUAUGAUAAAUACUGCAGUGUUUCAGCAAAAAUAUUUCAGUACUGCCUUGGAAGUUAUUAUACACCAUUCAAAAGAAGAACAACGAAACUUAAGGGGUUUAUUCAGGAUCUCCAGGGGUUCAGUGUCUUGAAAAAGGUACGGCUGUAUUGAUACUGUGAUCAGGAAUAAAAAUUUGUCAGCUGUAUGAAAACUUACUGAA